CCGAGUAAAUUGGUCUAACAAAGAGAAUCUAUCUAGGGUAUUUGCUGUUACCCUAGCUAAUAUAAAUAAAUUCAGGCAGUGAAUUUUUCUUUUAUAAUAUUCCACUGUUAUUGAGCAUAUCCAGACAUUAGUUCUGAAUUAAUAUCACCACUAUCGUUUAUAUUUUGUAGGAAUUAAAGAGACGAUCAUGAUCACAGUGUACAACCUCGUGAUGAUUUACAUGUGUUUCGGUGAAGCCCUCUUCGUUUUCUACAUCAUCGUUUAUUUGCACUAUCACAAAAAAGACAAAGAAGAAGAAGAAGAAGAAGAAGAAGAAGAAGAUUAUGACAUCGAACUUGGAGAUGAAGAUGUUGUUCAUUGUUGCCGCCUCUGCCACGAAGAUGUCAGAUAUUUCUCCAAUAUUCUACGUCUAUCAACGUGCCACAGGAUUCGAUCCAAAUUCACCCAACUCAAAAAAGAUUGACAUACAACAAAAGAAACAGCCUUUUUUUUCUUUUCUUCAUAUGGUUAGGAGUUACAACAUAUAAUGUAUUGUGAUUAUCUAAUUAUUAUUUUGUUUGAGUAACUAAUUAGUUUUUGAGGAACUUGAAUUUAUGCAUGCUGUACUCAAGUGGCUGGAAGUCACAACAAAACAACUAAGUAUUGGCAGAGGGCUCACAAAAUCGAGAUAACGAACUUUUGUUUCUUUAAUUUCGUCCGCCCCACACACACGUCUUUUAAAAAAAUCAUCAAAAUCUUUAUCUCAUAACUCACAAGGCACAAGUUUUCUUAAGCAAACAGUUGCAACAAAAUUAAUUAUCUCUUAGAUAUAGUUUCUUCUUUAUUGUACCAAAUUUAUAUAAAUUGAUAAGCCUUAGUGGGCUAGGUGUAAUCUUUCUCUCAAAUUUAUAUAAG
rnacentral:lncRNA from 1 species